UACGAAGGGGGCUAGCGUUGCUCGGAAUUACUGGGCGUAAAGCGCACGUAGGCGGAUUGUUAAGUCGGGGGUGAAAUCCUGGAGCUCAACUCCAGAACUGCCUUUGAUACUGGGAAUCUCGAGUCCGGGAGAGGUGAGUGGAACUGCGAGUGUAGAGGUGAAAUUCGUAGAUAUUCGCAAGAACACCAGUGGCGAAGGCGGCUCACUGGCCCGGUACUGACGCUGAGGUGCGAAAGCGUGGGGAGCAAACAGG
rnacentral:rRNA from 1 species